GGACAUUUAUCCUCCCAAUUGAUCUUCUGUCUGUCGACUGAUACAAGGCAAGAAUUUAUGUUCUAUUGGAAUCUAAAUUGAAUGUUUGACUGGAUGAACUUUAAAUAACAGAAUUUGGUAUAUAAGGUUGACUUGUUUCAUGUUACAGUGAAAUCCUAAAGUCCGUAAAUCCUUAUAUAAGAAAUUAUGUACAAAAUACCGGUGAAACAAGUAACAAGGAGAUAAGAAAAUAAGAAGAAUAAGUAUCGAGUGGUUUUGAUAAAUUAAGGUUCCAGUACUUUUGUUUAAGAGAAAAACGUUUCGACCACUUUUGCGAAAUUAAAGUUCGGACGCUUUUGUUUGGCUAAUAAGCAAGUGUCUUUGAAGUUUGAGAAUAAGUAUCGAGUGGUUUUGAUAAAUUAAGGUUUGAGUACUUUUGUUUGGAUGAAAUGUCAAGUACUUUUGUUUAAGAGAAAAAAGUUUAGACCACUUUUGCGAAAUUAAAGUUCGGACGCUUUUGUUUGGCUAAUAAGCAAGUGUCUUUGAAGUAUGAGAAAUAAAGGAUUUUUAUUUGUGGAUCCACAAAAAAUAAGUACUUAAGAAGAAAAAACAGCUGAAAAAUGGAAGGGGAAUUCAAUCGAGAAUCGGAAUGGUUCGACUUGCGUGUCAUUCCAGACCAUGGUCAAAAAAUACUGUUAAGUGAGCAAGUAAAGAAUGCAUGUGAUGUAUGUGUGGGAGGAUUGUCUGAGAAAGAUAGACAGGGAAAGAAAGAACAACCGUAUAAAUGGAUGAAUGAAUUCUGUGAGGAUGGCUGGUUCCCUCCAUUAUCAACUGCUGCCUGUUUAGUUUCACUGAUGAAGGAAGUCGAGAGUGAGUUAAAAAAAAAAAAAAAAAGUUAAACCAAAUAGGAGCGUUUACGGUGGACUUAAAUAGACACCCUGAAGUGCCACAAAAGGUAAGAGAACAGCUUUUAGCGCGUGCUUCCCGUUUUGAGAAAACUGUUAACGCUGAAAUAACAGAACAGAUGCAGCGUGAAAAAGCGGAACGAGAUAAAAUAUUCAGACAAAGGGAACAGGAGAUAGCAGCAGAGGAAGCUCAGAAGGGGCUUCCCCAUGCGGUCGCAAACACUUAUCACAUCGCACAUUUGCAAAAUCAGGUGGCUGACUUAAAGUACCAAGUGCAGACUUUGUCAGGAACACACCCGGACUCCCUGUUACAACAGACACAAUAAAAUAAAAGUGCGCCCCCUUUUGCUGAAUCCACUCCACUGCGACCAAUGACACGCUCUCAAACUGUUGUCCAAGCUCCAAUGCUGGCCAAGGUUGAUCCGGCUACUGGAGCCACUGCCAUGUUUUAUAAACCUCUUUCUCCUUCUGAUCUAAGUGUUUUGAUGCAGAAACUUCCGCCAAUGCAGAAUGGAGGAGAGAACUGGCUGAGAUCGGUACAAAGGGCUGUCACAGGACAAAUUUUAACAGCAGGAGACAUGCGCGCAUUGUUGACACAUGCGUGUCCCCUCUCCCAACUGGAAACACUGAUGAAGAAUUCUUGUCUGAUAAGUAUAAUGGACAAUGAGGCACUCACAAGAGAGUAUUACUUAACGUUGUUCACUGCACUAAGCGCGUUGUUUCCCAUUCCUGAUCUAGUCAUCUCCAACUUAGUAUUUGCUCCUAGAACAGAUGAGGAAGCAGCGGCAUAUAUUGACCGCGCUCUUGUUGAAUAUUCUUCAAAAACAGGCCAUUUACCAACUGACUCUGCUCUGUAUUCUCAAGUAUUUAGAGCAGCAGUGCUGAAGGGCGUUCCCAAGUCUGUGGUGCAAGCCAUGGAGGCGAAUCCGGACCUUCCUGGAGCAGAUCAUGCUCGCUGGUUGUCACAUCUGAAACACCACUUGAGGAGACAUGCAAAAGAAAAAGAGUCAAAGCAUGAGAAACACAGAACCACCGAAUCGCAAUUAGCUAUAAUGCAACUACAAAGUCUCAAAAAACAAGAAGAAAAUAUUAAAAUCACACCUGUGGCUUCCGUUGGGGCCUCGCUACCUAAUGUUGUUUCUGAGUGCAUGAUGUAUCAAACAGGGCCAUUCAUGGGUCGAGGUGCUCCGUUUGCUGGCAGAAAUCAAUGCUUCAGCUGUGGUCGUAACGGACACUGGGCAAGAGACUGCCGAGCGCGUCCCCUGGAGGGCAGAGACAGAGGAGGAAGUGGCCCGCCUAGAGGCGUGGUUAUGGCCAGCAAAGAGGAAGAGGAUACGGACAGCAACAGCAGCAGGUUAUGACUCAACAAUAUCCGCAGCAGAAGUCUUACCCUCAAGUGCCGAACCAACAGCACCUGCCACCGUCUGGGGGCCAGUAUCCGCAAUGAUGGGGCCCCGAAUCUACAUGCCACGGUCUGCAGGAACCAAUAAUCGGACUGACGGUAGGAGGAACUAUUUUACCUUUUAUGGUCGAUAUGGGAGCCAGACAUUCAACUGUUAUGACAUUAACACCUGAAAGUUCCCUUACUGCAAAAGGCAUUUCCCUUGUUGGAUUCCGGGGUGAAGAAACUAUCCUGCAAAUGACUACACCCGUACAUACUUAGUGUUUUACACAAACUCUUUUACACUCGUUUGUGUAUGCACCCAAUUGCCCUGUCAACCUGUUGGGGAGGGAUCUUCUCAUCAAAACAGCUCCAACAAUACUGUGCAGCCCGGAUCGACUGAUAUUACAGUUUCCUGAUGGACACACCUACUGUUGUUCCGGUGACGACACAUCAAACAUCUAGAUGCAGGAUUCAGAGCGACAACUACCAAGCAUGACGUGCGCCACCGCCGACAUCUACUGGGCGAAAAUGGACACUGACUCACCCGGAUGGACGGAAGCAGAGACCUUUUGGACUCAAUGGUCGCCGUGGGUUCGUCACCUCAGACCCUAUGAAAUGGUUUCUGAUUGUAUGCAUUACACUCUGUACUAUGACAGGACAGGAGAUGAGGUGUACAGCGAGGCUUUCCAAAAUGUAGAAGGCAACAUCUGGGAACUACAAAUGGGUGACCUGUUCGUGGGAAAACCAGGAGGAAGACAAAGGAAAAUUGAGGUAAUACUCACAGCCACAUAUCCUUUUUACACACGAAGGCAUUAACAUGGCUGAAGGGCUUUUUGAAGGACAGCCUCAUUGCUGUACCCAACGAAUCAUAACAGAUAACACAUUUAGGGAAGAUCUAUAUGGCAUGCCCUUGCAAAAUCCUGA